UACGUAGGGGGCUAGCGUUGUCCGGAUUUAUUGGGCGUAAAGAGCGUGUAGGCGGCCAGGUAGGUCUGCUGUGAAAACUCGAGGCUCAACCUCGAGACGUCGGCGGAAACCAUCUGGCUAUAGUCCGGAAGAGGAGAGUGGAAUUCCUGGUGUAGCGGUGAAAUGCGCAGAUAUCAGGAAGAACACCCGUGGCGAAGGCGGCUCUCUGGGACGGUACUGACGCUGAGACGCGAAAGCGUGGGGAGCGAACAGG
rnacentral:rRNA from 1 species